GCUUACGGCCAUAACCCUGAACACGCCCGAUCUCGUCCGAUCUCGGAAGCUAAGCAGGGUCGGGCCUGGUUAGUACUUGGAUGGGAGACCGCCUGGGAAUACCAGGUGCUGUAAGCU
rnacentral:rRNA from 1 species